CCUACGGGUGGCAGCAGUGGGGAAUAUUGCACAAUGGGGGAAACCCUGAUGCAGCGACGCCGCGUGAGUGAAGAAGUAGUUCGGUAUGUAAAGCUCUAUCAGCAGGGAAGAAAUAAAGUCCUUCGGACUUUGGACGGUACCUGACUAAGAAGCCCCGGCUAACUACGUGCCAGCAGCCGCGGGAAUACGUAGGGGGCAAGCGUUAUCCGGAUUUACUGGGUGUAAAGGGAGCGUAGACGGCAGCGCAAGUCUGGAGUGAAAUCCCAUGGCUUAACCAUGGAACUGCUUUGGAAACUGUGCGGCUGGAGUGCAGGAGAGGUAAGCGGAAUUCCUAGUGCAGCGGUGAAAUGCGUAGAUAUUAGGAGGAACACCAGUGGCGAAGGCGGCUUACUGGACUGUAACUGACGUUGAGGCUCGAAAGCGUGGGGAGCGAACAGGAUUAGAUACCCCUGUAGUC
rnacentral:rRNA from 1 species